CAGCUCGUGUUGUGAAAUGUUGGGUUAAGUCCCGCAACGAGCGCAACCCUUAUCCUUUGUUGCCAGCGAUUAGGUCGGGAACUCAAAGGAGACUGCCAGUGAUAAACUGGAGGAAGGUGGGGAUGACGUCAAGUCAUCAUGGCCCUUACGACCAGGGCUACACACGUGCUACAAUGGCGCAUACAAAGAGAAGCGACCUCGCGAGAGCAAGCGGACCUCAUAAAGUGCGUCGUAGUCCGGAUUGGAGUCUGCAACUCGACUCCAUGAAGUCGGAAUCGCUAGUAAUCGUGGAUCAGAAUGCCACGGUGAAUACGUUCCCGGGCCUUGUACACACCGCCCGUCACACCAUGGGAGUGGGUUGCAAAAGAAGUAGGUAGCUUAACCUUCGGGAGGGCGCUUACCACUUUGUGAUUCAUGACUGGGGUGAAGUCGUAACAAGGUAACCGUAGGGGAACCUGCGGUUGGAUCACCUCCUUACCUUAAAGAAGC
rnacentral:rRNA from 2 species